CGCUGCUGCUUUUUAAGGCCAGAUUCUCCAGGGACUCAUGGAGGGCCCGGUUUUUAAUUAGCACCCGUCUCCUUGUCAAUACACCUCAUUAACUGGUAAAACACACGGCCCGAAACACGUGAAAACAACUCACAAAACUGCAAAUACUUUCCCUCGACCGCCAGAUGAACUUCCCCUGACCUGUGUGCGGGGGCGAGACGUUUGUGUGAAACCCACAGCGUCCCCAGCACAGCCAGCCUCCAGCCCCACCCGGGCCAGGCCCUCGGGCUACAGAUGAAAACACCAGGCCGAGGGGAGAGCGGCACCCAAGUCAGAAUAAAGCUGGAAUCCGGGAGCCACUUCCACCGGAAGACUGGUCAUCAGUCACGUUAAAUUUGUGUAAAAGCGAAUCAUGGAGUCACAAGCACCAUACCCACAGCGGAUCUUCUCCUACGAAGGGCACGGAGCUUUACAUGCAAGGAUCCGAAAUAACACCAGCUGUUCCCUGGAGCCCUGGUCACUGGCCGGAUGCCCAGUCCGGAGCCUGGCGAGGAUGUCUGCCGAGCCCCUCCACUUCCUCACUCCUGCCCUUCCUUGGCCCCCCAAAUGUAAGUGAGAGAGAGGCUCUUUCUAAGGCGCGGUCUUCAACGCCAAGAACACCAUCACGUGCACACAGAACAGUCAAUGACCACAAAGAGCUGUGGGAUGUCCUCUCUCAAGGCUUAGCUAGUUGUCACCAGCAGCGACGGCAACGUUGUUCCAUCAAAAAAAUAGGCUGACUAUCUAUGCCGUGCCCAACCGUGUCUGUGGAACAUCAACAGACUGCAAGCAUUACGUUAGCUUGGCUCCCCAAAAAAGCAUUAAAUACAAAAUAUUAAAUACAUUCUCUUCUAAAA